GACGAACGCUGGCGGCGUGCCUAAUACAUGCAAGUCGAACGCAGUUUCGAACGGGUGAGUAUCGCGUAUGUAACUGCCUCAUAGCGGGGGAUAACUAUUUGAAACGGUAGCUAAUACCGCAUCCUGUGGGAUGGACCUGCGUUGUAUUAGCUAGUUGGUGAGGUAAAGGCCCACCAAGGCGACGAUCCAUAGCCGGCGUGAGAGGGGGAGCGGGCAAACUGGGACUGAGAAACGGCCCAGAAGCCUUCGGGAGGCAGCAGGAGGGAAUCUUUGGCAAUUGACGGAAGUCUGACCGCGCAAAGGCGCGGGAGUGAAGAAGGUUUUCGGAUCGUAAAGCUCUUUUGUGAGAGAAGCGGUAACUAACCAGAAAGGGACGGCUAACUACGUGCCAGCAGCCGCGGUAAUAC
rnacentral:rRNA from 1 species